rnacentral:rRNA from 1 species
CAGUAGCCGCGGUAAUACGGAGGGGGCUAGCGUUGUUCGGAAUUACUGGGCGUAAAGCGCACGUAGGCGGAUCAGUCAGUCAGGGGUGAAAUCCCGGGGCUCAACCCCGGAACUGCCUUUGAUACUGCUGGUCUUGAGGUCGAGAGAGGUGAGUGGAAUUCCGAGUGUAGAGGUGAAAUUCGUAGAUAUUCGGAGGAACACCAGUGGCGAAGGCGGCUCACUGGCUCGAUACUGACGCUGAGGUGCGAAAGCGUGGGGAGCAAACAGGAUUAGAUACCCCAGUAGUCCCUGUCUCUUAUAC